CAGAAAGAAAAAGCAGAAUAAUAGUGCGUGUGAAUUAGGGCGCACGUACGAGCGACCAGCUAAGGCUAAGCCGCAGUAGUCCCUGCAAAACUCUCAGAGAAAAACUCAGUAAAGUGUUGUAUAUUACUGAGUGAAUGAAUCAAAUGAGAGAAUUGGUGAGUUUUUUUCUCUUCUCUUUUUGGCUGUAAAAAUAAAAACAAAAACAAACCAAGAGAAAAGUUUUAUGUGAAAAUGUAAGUAAAAAGAGAGAGAGAGAGAGCAGUGAUGAUGGUGGUGAAAUGGGAUUUGUGAAGAGCAGCUCUCAUCACAGCCUCGAGGGAUUGGUCGAAGGCCUUUGCUUUUCUGCUACUUGGCUGCUUAGGUUUCAGUUAGCUGCAUCAAACACAAAUACUCAUCCAAACUUUACCAAAUCAGAGAGUAAAGAAAGUAAAAUAAAAUAGAGAGUAUACACAGAGAUUUUAUUAAGGUUCACCACCAAAUGAGGCUAGUUUCUCUUGAGCUCUCGCCUUAGAGAUGAUUAAGCUCGAUCUGCACUAAUAAAGAUGAACCACUUACAAGAUCUCCUGAGAUUCCAGCUAGAGCUGAUCAGCAAGGUAAUCUCAUUCCUUUAUUCUUGUUUACACUCAAGCUUCUCAAUACACAGAUACUCUCAAAAUCCUCACAACUCUCCUCUCUUUUCUUUCUUGUAGGCUAUUUUCUACUCUCAACCUAAAACAAAAGACUAGCUCUAGAUAUCUCAGUUUCUUUUUCUGCCUUUUUCUUUGACUAUUUUUCUGUAUUUGAAGAGUAGUACAAUAUGUAUAUAUUUAAAUUUUUGAAACACAGUAUGUAGAUCUGGUUUUGAUUGAGCUGUUCAAGUUAUUGUAGCUAAAAUUCUGUUGUAACUGUAUUUGUUGAUCCUGUCUGAGUGAGUUGGGACUUAAUGAAAAGACUUGCUAUUUUUAACA